CCCUCAAAUCAGGUAGGACUACCCGCUGAACUUAAGCAUAUCAAUAAGCGGAGGAAAAGAAACCAACAGGGAUUGCCCCAGUAACGGCGAGUGAAGCGGCAAAAGCUCAAAUUUGAAAUCCUGCGGGAAUUGUAAUUUGAAGGUUUCGUGGUCUGAGUCGGCCGCGCCCAAGUCCAUUGGAACAUGGCGCCUGGGAGGGUGAGAGCCCCGUAUGGCGCACGCCGACUCUUUGCACCGCGGCUCC
rnacentral:rRNA from 1 species